rnacentral:rRNA from 1 species
AGUGAACGCUGGCGGUAGGCCUAACACAUGCAAGUCGAACGGCAGCACAGUAAGAGCUUGCUCUUACGGGUGGCGAGUGGCGGACGGGUGAGGAAUACAUCGGAAUCUACUUUUUCGUGGGGGAUAACGUAGGGAAACUUACGCUAAUACCGCAUACGACCUACGGGUGAAAGCAGGGGAUCUUCGGACCUUGCGCGAUUGAAUGAGCCGAUGUCGGAUUAGCUAGUUGGCGGGGUAAAGGCCCACCAAGGCGACGAUCCGUGGCUGGUCUGAGAGGAUGAUCAGCCACACUGGAACUGAGACACGGUCCAGACUCCUACGGGAGGCAGCAGUGGGGAAUAUUGGACAAUGGGCGCAAGCCUGAUCCAGCCAUACCGCGUGGGUGAAGAAGGCCUUCGGGUUGUAAAGCCCUCUUGUUGGGAAAGAAAAGCAGCAGGUUAAUACCCCGCUGUUCUGACGGUACCCAAAGAAUAAGCACCGGCUAACUUCGUG